rnacentral:sRNA from 26 species
AAGGCCCUGCCAAAUCGAAGCUCCAGGUUCCUACCUGGAAGGAAUUUGUAGAGGCGGUGGGGCUCU